GCUCCCCUGCCCAGGGCCGCUGCUUCUAAUUUCAGCUGCUGGAGGCUCUGCUCACUCUUUUUUUUUUUUAUUCCGUGUUUAUUUAAAGCCGGAUUUUAAAAUGUUGUCUUCAGCCCUGAAAUCUUUUUCUUCUCACUGCAGGUCUGAAAGCCCCGGGGGAGCGCGGAGGCCCACUUGGCCUGGGCUGCGGCUGCGGGUGGCCUCCGGGGGUGCGGGGCAGCCCCACUGUCCCGCAUAGUCAUGGACGUCUGCCGAGACUGGCCUGCACGUCCCUGGUUACCCCUGCGGGCUCCGUGUCGUCUCCGUCUGGGGGGCUCCUCCUGCAGGGGCCUCUCUUGGGCCAGGGAAGACACAGACAUCUGUAGAGAAGCUCCUGGAGACUCGGCUGUCGCCUGGAUGUCCAUGUGAAAAGAACACUCCCUCCGUAGGGAAAAACCACUUAAACAGCUCGGGGGUGACAUUUAACCCUCAGGCCGACCAUGUGGCCUUGCAGAGUGUUGCUCUGUGGGGACAGAAGUGAGGCCCCAGGGGAGGUCUGACAGCUCAGCUCCUAAUUCACACCCAGAUUCGGGGACUCUCUCCACGCCCCAGGCACCCACAGUCCUUUGUGUGGCCUUGGGCAGGUGUGCUGGGCUCAGCUGUCAUUUUCCCACAUUCUUUGGCUCGCAGAUUUCCCUCUGGGAACGUUAGUGACCCUGUUUCUGCUUCUGGAGAGACACACAGCGAGAGACGGAACACAAGCA